CAGUCAUAUUUUAAAGCGUGACACAAUCCCAGACUAAAUAUUCCACCUCGCGCUAUUUCGGAAGAGAUAUUCACGGAGAUUUUAGGCUUUUUUUUUUUUCUCUCCUUUUUUUUUUUUUUCUUUAAGGCAAGGACGUUACAACGAACGCAAAAGGCGGCAGGCACAGGGCAGGCCCAGAAGUGAGUGUUAUCAUUCCUCUCCUCUCUCCCUCUGAAUUGGCAACUGUGCUUGUGGAACACCAUUCUCCCGUUGGUGAUGCUGAAAUGGCUGUAGAAGCGGCUCCACCCCAUCGACAACGAUUUAAUAGCAGUUUUCAAUGAUGAAUCAAAGAGCCUGCUCCACUUCCCUGCUCUUACACAGAGUUGGCUCUGCUGAAUUCAUCACAAAGCAAACCUGUUCCAGUCCCAUACGUUUGGUUUGUGUGCGAUCCUGUUCAAACAAAAGGGUGAUGAGAAAGUAAUUCCAGCACUGGAGCCCAAUUGCAGUUUGUGAUUCAACGUGGCAUCACUCUCUGGCGUUCAUCCAGCAUGGCAAAGCACAAAAUGCAGGAACUCAGAAUGAAGUUGCACAGAUCAGAAGUUUCUACCUAUAAAGCGAACGUACCAUAGCUUCAAAGUGAUCUUCCAUGAUGAACCAGUCUCAACCUUCAAAGCAAGAAAAAGCAGCUUCAGAACAACUGUAACUUAAAUUUUAAGUGAAUUUACCCUGAUUAGAAAUGGUUGACUUCAUUUCUUUGUGCCAGCGUACACUUGGAUGAAGAUACGUGCAGACUGUGACAAUGAUGAAUGCACAUCAUAUGUUCACAUCCAAUUUGUAGCAAGCAUUUUAAAAGAUGAUGCUGGUUCUAUAAUUCUCAUUAUUAUACAUGACCAAACAUGACUAAAAUCCAGAAUGUUUUUUACUCCA